GACGAACGCUGGCGGCGUGCUUAACACAUGCAAGUCGAACGGAAAGGCCCUGCUUUUGUGGGGUGCUCGAGUGGCGAACGGGUGAGUAACACGUGAGUAACCUGCCCUUGACUUUGGGAUAACUUCAGGAAACUGGGGCUAAUACCGGAUAGGAGCUCCUGCUGCAUGGUGGGGGUUGGAAAGUUUCGGCGGUUGGGGAUGGACUCGCGGCUUAUCAGCUUGUUGGUGGGGUAGUGGCUUACCAAGGCUUUGACGGGUAGCCGGCCUGAGAGGGUGACCGGCCACAUUGGGCCUAAGAUACGGCCCAGACUCCUACGGGAGGCAGCAGUGGGGAAUAUUGCACAAUGGGCGGAAGCCUGAUGCAGCAACGCCGCGUGCGGGAUGACGGCCUUCGGGUUGUAAACCGCUUUCGCCUGUGACGAAGCGUGAGUGACGGUAAUGGGUAAAGAAGCACCGGCUAACUACGUG
rnacentral:rRNA from 1 species